rnacentral:rRNA from 1 species
AGGACGAACGCUGGCGGCGUGCUUAACACAUGCAAGUCGAACGGAAAGGCCCUUCGGGGUACUCGAGUGGCGAACGGGUGAGUAACACGUGGGUGAUCUGCCCCGCACUUUGGGAUAAGCCUGGGAAACUGGGUCUAAUACCGAAUAGGACCAUGGGAUGCAUGUCCUGUGGUGGAAAGCUUUUGCGGUGUGGGAUGGGCCCGCGGCCUAUCAGCUUGUUGGUGGGGUUAAGGCCUACCAAGGCGACGACGGGUAGCCGGCCUGAGAGGGUGUCCGGCCACACUGGGACUGAGAUACGGCCCAGACUCCUACGGGAGGCAGCAGUGGGGAAUAUUGCACAAUGGGCGCAAGCCUGAUGCAGCGACGCCGCGUGGGGGAUGACGGCCUUCGGUUGUAAACCUCUUUCAGUAGGGACGAAGCGCAAGUGACGGUACCUACAGAAGAAGCACCGGCCAACUACGUGCCAGCAGCCGC